AUUUCUCUGAGAUGUUUGCAAGCGGGCCAGUCCCCUGAGCCGAUAUUUCAUACCACAGAAUGUAGAGCUCCGCGGUUGGUGAGCAUGCUCGGUUCGUCCGGAGAAGCUCAAAACUGUGACAUUCACCUUGAACCAAGGGUUCAGGUUACAGCCUGCGGCGGCAUCUCGGAGAUCUC
rnacentral:other from 1 species